GUGCGAGUUGUAAAUUGCAGGUUGGAGUCUCGGUUUAGACGUGUGUGCAAGUCCCUUGGAACAGGGCGCCACUGAGGGUGAGAGCCCCGUAGUGUGCACGAUCGACGCUGUGAGGCCCUUCUGACGAGUCGAGUUGUUUGGGAAUGCAGCUCUAAGUGGGUGGUAAAUUCCAUCUAAGGCUAAAUAUUGGCGAGAGACCGAUAGCGAACAAGUACUGUGAAGGAAAGAUGAAAAGCACUUUGAAAAGAGAGUGAAACAGCACGUGAAAUUGUUGAAAGGGAAGGGUAUUGGGCUCGACAUGGGAUUUACGCAUCGUUGCCUCUCGUGGGCGGCGCUCUGGGUUUUUCCUGGGCCAGCAUC
rnacentral:rRNA from 1 species